AUUGAACGCUGGCGGCAGGCCUAACACAUGCAAGUCGAGCGGGUUUUCGGACCUAGCGGCGGACGGGUGAGUAAUGCGUAGGAAGCUGCCCGAUAGAGGGGGAUACCAGUUGGAAACGACUGUUAAUACCGCAUAAUGUCUACGGACCAAAGUGUGGGACCUUCGGGCCACAUGCUAUCGGAUGCGCCUACGUGGGAUUAGCUAGUUGGUGAGGUAAUGGCUCACCAAGGCGACGAUCUCUAGCUGGUUUGAGAGGAUGAUCAGCCACACUGGGACUGAGACACGGCCCAGACUCCUACGGGAGGCAGCAGUGGGGAAUCUUAGACAAUGGGGGAAACCCUGAUCUAGCCAUGCCGCGUGAGCGAUGAAGGCCUUAGGGUUGUAAAGCUCUUUCAGUGGGGAAGAUAAUGACGGUACCCACAGAAGAAGCCCCGGCUAACUCCGUG
rnacentral:rRNA from 1 species